rnacentral:tRNA from 1 species
GGAGAGGUGGUUGAGUGGUCGAAGGCACACGCUUGGAAAGCGUGCGUACGCUAAUCGCGUACCGCGGGUUCGAAUCCCGCCCUCUCCGCCA